rnacentral:tRNA from 1 species
GGAAGCGCACGGGGCCUGGUGGCCCUCGCGGUCUUCAAAACCGUUGCCCGGCCGCACCAGGCGGUCGGGGGUGGGUUCGAUUCCCAUGCGCUUCC